ACGAACGCUGGCGGCGUGCUUAACACAUGCAAGUCGAACGGAAAGGCCCUGCUUUUGUGGGGUGCUCGAGUGGCGAACGGGUGAGUAACACGUGAGUAACCUGCCCUUGACUUUGGGAUAACUUCAGGAAACUGGGGCUAAUACCGGAUAGGAGCUCCUGCUGCAUGGUGGGGGUUGGAAAGUUUCGGCGGUUGGGGAUGGACUCGCGACUUAUCAGCUUGUUGGUGGGGUAGCGGCUUACCAAGGCUUUGACGGGUAGCCGGCCUGAGAGGGUGACCGGCCACAUUGGGACUGAGAUACGGCCCAGACUCCUACGGGAGGCAGCAGUGGGGAAUAUUGCACAAUGGGCGGAAGCCUGAUGCAGCAACGCCGCGUGCGGGAUGACGGCCUUCGGGUUGUAAACCGCUUUCGCCUGUGACGAAGCGUGAGUGACGGUAAUGGGUAAAGAAGCACCGGCUAACUACGUG
rnacentral:rRNA from 1 species